UAAUCACACGGAUCUCAGCAUCCCAAUUUUAAACUGCCCUACACCCAAUCAACAUCCUCAACACCUGUUCCUUAAACCCUAAACCCCUUUUUUCUGUCUUUUUCUUUUUUCACUUCACUUCACUCCCUUCAAAAUAUCCAAAAAUCUUAACUUUUCACACUUAAAAUGGCUUGGCGCAGUUCAGGAUCGCUUUCGCGUACGCUCAUGUCCGCCGCCAGGGCUCCGUCCCGUAUCUCUUCGUCGCCGCUUCCCCGCAUCCGUCCACCGGCCACUGCCUCUCCUCGGCUUCAGUCCCGCCGCGUCUCCUUUGGUCCUUCCAGGAACUUGGGAGAAUUGGGAUGUUUGCAAUCAUUCUUGCCUCUGCAUAGCAUGGCCGGCACAAAUCUCCUCACAUCACGUCUCAAUGCUAACUUGCGGGCUUUUUGCGAGCUGUCUCACGGUACCUUCUACCGUACUUGUCAAGAUCGCUAGUAGUCUCUUUGGAGGAAUGGAAAAGACGGGUGAUGCAGAUGGACUUUCAGUCAGCUAAAGGUGCAAGAUUGUUGCCAACAUUGUACUUAAAGAGCCAUUGGAUCUGUGCAGCAGCAUGCAACAGUAGAUUGAGGAAGUCAGAGUGGAUAUAUCCUGUGGGAUAGACUUUUUAGGCAGGAAUAUUUUAAUAAAGAAUUCAUGUAUUAAAGAGUUUAAUAUUGAAAUUGUAUUACUUUUUGUGGGCACUUAUAUGUUACUUGCAAUUGUGUCCUGUUCUAUUUCCUUUAUUUCUGACUAGUAUCUGUAAGAUUAUGUUGAUGUUAACCUAUCAGUUACUGGGAUUCUGCA